AACUUUUAACAACGGAUCUCUUGGUUCUCGCAUCGAUGAAGAACGUAGCAAAGUGCGAUAACUAGUGUGAAUUGCAUAUUCAGUGAAUCAUCGAGUCUUUGAACGCAACUUGCACUCUAUGGUUUUCCGUAGAGUACGCUUGCUUCAGUAUCAUAA
rnacentral:rRNA from 1 species